AGGAAACAGUGGCAAAGCGUGUCUAUCAAAGCCAGGUCACUGGAGAUGGAGGAGCUGUCCCAGAAAGCCCCAAUGAUCUAGUCAGUGAUUCAUCCAGUGAGUCUGAGCUGUUCAUCUGCUUGGAAACUCAUUCACCUUGACCUGGCUUUUGAAAAGUUUGACAACAGCGAACAAUCUUUUGCUGAAAACUGCAGUGUUAAUUAUGAAGACCCAGCAUAUUUUGGGAGGGGGGUGUAAUUGUUAUUCUUAGCAUCUGACAUAAACAUUUAAUUUUUAAUUAGUGAAAUUGCUCUGUUGUGGUAUUAUAUUGACCAUGAAAAUAAUUAUAUAAUUUUUGUUUUCAAGUUUUCCAGGGAGUUUUACAUUCUGAUAAGGAAAAAAAUUAUUAUAUACGGGAUUUUGUGAUUAUGAGCAGCUCCACUAUUUUUCUUUCAGUUGGAUUCGUAAUUACAUCUGUAGUCUGAACGCUUAUGUUUAUAAUGUAACAUGAUUUUCUAAGCUGAGACAUAUGUGAUUUAUAAAAUAUUUAUAAAGGUAAAUAUUAUCCACAUUAGGUUACAGGGUUCUAUAGUAUGACAAGGUCAGUUGUUUUUUAUUGUAAAUAUUCUAUUAAGGUGUCAAUAUUGUAUAAAUAUGCAUUUUC